rnacentral:lncRNA from 1 species
AUAUCUUGAAAUAUUAGUCAGAAUUUUUUCCUAUAUUUCUUAUUACUCCUACUCUUCCUGAUGUGGUAUUAAUUACUUCAGGGAAGAGAUGACACAGCAUAAAGCAGAAAAUACACAGGAGUCAGUUGGCUUCAAAUGCCUCAAUCCUGACAGAGAGAAAAUAAUUGGAAAGAUGCGAAGUGAAGAAGAGCAUGGCCUCCCCUACACUGCCUACCCCAAGAGCGGACAAAGAUCCCCUACCUAGAUAAAGGAGGAGCUGAAGGAGAUGUAGAGAAGUAAAGAGCAUACACAUUUGUGUGUAUGUGUGUGUGCAUGGACGUGUUGGGGGAAGGCACGAAGUAUGAUGAUAGGCUGGAAAAACUGAGGGCAAAGAGAACCUGGGCGCUUCCUGGACAGAGCCCCAGAAAAACAGCAGAGUGGUGCAGAGUUCCCUGUGUCCAGGGAAGAAAUGACCAUGUGCUGUGUCUAGGCUGACAAGGCCUUCAACAUACACACACACGCCCAGUUCCCAGCAAAGCAUGGGAGCAGCAGAAUGAAUCAGUGUGUUCAGAGUGGCACAGAAGUGGACAGGCCCUUUGAUGGCCUCAGGAAAUCUCCUGCAGCCCAGGGUGGCACCCAGACAGCCAAACCCCUAGGCAAUCAUGAACAGAGGGAAGUGGCCGAGAGACAGAAGCCCUGACACUCAGAGGACCAGUGUACUCCCUCCCUCUAAGCUUUGGCAUUGCACUGGGCCUUUCAUUCAUUCACUAAAGAACAGAAACAGAGUUCCCUCCCAUUGUCAGUGACCCCACCAGAGAGUCAAGUUUUAAGCUUCUGACCUAUGCCCAAUCGGUUAUCGAGUUGCAUCCCGGCAAGCCUGUCCACUCAGCCUGCCUUCCUUAGAUGAAGCCCUCCUCCACCACCACGGAUGGUCUACUGAGCUCAGGCUAAGGCUCUCCCUCGUCGUUUCUUUCCCCUUGAUGCCAGUAGAGUCAUCCUCCUGAAGCAAUUCUCCCACUAGCCCUGCUUGGAAACCUCCAGCAGGUCUUCAGCCCAGAGCACAGGCUUCACCUGGCCCCAAGGCCACACGAUACGCAGACCUGCGAAGUUAAUCCACCUUACCUCCUUAUUCUCUGCCACAGAAGCCCCAUCUCAGACUCUCUCUUCUCACCCAGAGACCAUUGCAAUCCAACCUAGCCACUCUUCAAAUCCCACGUCAAGUCUCAUCUUCUCUUGCAAUACUUCCAGCCUUUCAGUUCCCAUAGCUCUCUCCUGUCUUUGAUUCCUAUAACACUUAGCGUCUAAACCAUUCCCUCAAACUCUUAACCACAUAUGGCCUCAUGUGGUUUCAUCACUGAAGCCUAUGGUGUCUCUAUGGCUCAACUGCCCAAUUAGGCCAAGCUCCUGGGCGGCAGGACCAGCUCCUCUUUGCAAGUUGCCUGACAAUGAGAGUGCAGUAAGUGCUGUUUAAUGCAUUCAUUGAACACCAAUUUCUUUUCUAAUUACCAGCUUCAUGCAGGGCAGAUGGGAAAAUGGAGCAGACUACAGAUAGGGGCAAUGGGCAGAAAGUAGACCUGGGAAAGGAUUCCCAACAGAGGGAAGAGUGCUCACUCCAGAGCACAAAGCUCAGGUCCCCUCGGUGAAGGAAGUCAUUUAAACUCUGUAUUUGAGACUCAGUCGGUGAGACUUAAAUGUCUAUACAAUGUUAGUACUGUUAAUGUGCACUUUAGUUCGGGGACGGGGAAAAAAGGCAAGCAAGGUCUUAAAGAAAAGAAUAAGACACUAGGACUUCUUUAUUGAAGCCGUUUAAGCACAAUUUACCAAAUAAUGGCACAAAGCAGAGGUCACAGAGUAGUUCUGUGUGUGCACACACGUGCAUGCACAUUCAUGGCCAAAUAAGCUAAGAGCUGGCUUCUCACAUUUUAGGAGAAAGUGUUUAAAUAGAAUAUGUACACCCACCACAUCAGAAAAAUAGAGAAGGGCCAUACACAAGAAUUCACACACACACCACCAAAGGUUCAAUAAACAUAAGGAAAAAAUUCCACCUUAUCAGCAAUCAAUCAAACGUCUCUCUCGCCACCCAGUUGCGUAGUGGUUAAGGUCUCCCACUCUUCUUUGGCGGCCUGGGGUUUGCAGGUUUGGAUCCUAGGCUUGGACCUAACACCACUGGUCAAGCCACAUGGUGGCAGCAUCCCACAUAAAAUAGAGGAAGAUUGGCACAGAUGUUAGCUCAGGGCCAAUCUUCCUCACAAAAAAGAAAAGUUUUGAGAAGAGACUUCUUGACUCCUUCCCUAUGGCCUACAGGUAUCAAAAAUGAGAAUUUCAACAAACAAAUUCAGUUAAAGUUUACUUUGUGGCUACUGUGUGUCAGACACUGGGUAGUAACAGAAAGUCAUCUACAAGGUCAGGCGAGGGGUGACGUGAUCAAACUAUCAACCGUUAUCGUGAAUGAUGAACCGUGGGAGAAGGAGACCAAAUAAGCCAUUCUAAUUGCCUACACCAAACAACAAGAGCCAGGAUUAGGAUAGCGGCAGUGGAGGCGACAACAUUUGCUUCAAACUCAAGUCAUUCUCUUCUUCCUUCUAACCAAUUUUUUCUUUUUCUAAUUUAAAUUCAUUAUAACCACCAAUAAACAUCACAAGUACUGCAGAGGGGAUCUUUUUAUGAAAGGCUAAAAAAGUUCACAAAACUAUAUCUAGCUCCUACUUUUCACCGAAGUGUAAAAUUCUAAAACUUGGAGGGUGUGUACAAAUGUGCUCAAAUUCAGGAGCGAAAACGAGCCUUUUAUUUUUGCUGCCUGAGUUAAGUGAACCAGAGAUCAGUAGACCAAUAUUCCCCAGAUGAAAAGUCAAUUCACUUCUAGAACUAUUUUCUCUUUAGUAAAUCAUAAAGCACGAUUUAAGUCACUUUGCACAUAUUUAGUGCUGUGUGACUGAUACAUAAUAAUAAUGGCGAUGGCAAUCAUCUGAUCAACAGCAAGUGGCUAUUCCUCACACAAAGGAGGAGAAAGACGUCCAGGACAGGAGUCUGAUCUCAGACCUUCAGCCACAAAGAUAUCCUAUUUUAAAUGUAUUAUGUUUUACUUGGUUUUUCUUUCCUUCUGCCUCCCCAUCAAGUAAAACAAAUGCUAGCUGUUAUUUUAUGAGAAGCCGUAGAUCUCCUUGCAGGGAAAUGAGGAGUGGAAGGAAGUUCGGCUCCCGAGAGCUCCUGCUCACCUUAAAUGCUGUCUUCGGUUGUUGGAGAACAUGACUGGAAUCAAAAGGCCAGACUGAUGUCUGCAGAGGUGGGCUCCUGGCUCCCAGUGACUUCCAAAGGAGCAAUGUCAACCUCCAAGAAAGCGGAUGCCCUCCGUCUGUGCACCUUCUCUUCCUUUCUGAGCUGCACAACAGGGCAAGCAAGAACGCUGCAGGAAAGAGUAAGACAGACAUGAUGACCUUUUCAAAAAUCUUUUGGUCUUUGAGUAUAAAUAUUCAUUUUAAUCCUUAAAAACAAUCAUUUCAGGAUGUUUUGCCUGAUGGGAAAUUCGCUCAUAGAGCAACGCUGCAGAGUUUGCAGCACAGAGGGACCUAGAUCAACACGACUGCCUGCUCUGCGAUCCAGCCCUGAGUUCUCCUCUCCCGCUAGCUGACUCUCAGGAUCAGGGCCGUUCGGAGCCCUCUUCAGGCAGGACUGGUUUGCUCUCAAUUGCACAUCAGUACAUUUUCAUUUCAGCUUUAAUUACAUCUUAUCUAUGAAGGUGUCAGUGACCCGUCUUGGCGGCCAAAGGUAACAUGUAAAAGUUAAUUUCCUAAGGUCCUAGAGGACAAAACUCAGGUCACGAGCAGGAGAUAAACAUGUGGACUCAUUUCAAAAGAAGUGUGUUUCAACUGGACUGUUCUGAGUGAACAGAAUAAAAAAAAAAAAGACUAUCUUUGAUCAAGGAGAAAAUGCUUAUAAAAAUCUAGAUAAGCCAACUCAUUAAGUCUAUUUGUCUUGACAAAUAUUUUAUGCUGUCACAUUCUCUGGAAAUAUGUGAGGCUAAUGUGGAAAUAAUUCCAAGUAGGAGGAGCUGUUGAAAAAACCAGUUUGGAUUAAAGGAUCCCAGAACUGGAUGCUCUCUAAGAGAUCUGUAGUCAUUUGGUCCAGUUCUCUACCACUGUGUUCGUUUCCUAUGCUGCUAUAACCAACUACUGCAAACUGGGUGGAAUAAAACAACACAAAUGUACUGUUUUACCAGUCCAUAGGUCAGAAGUCUGACACAGGUCUCACCGGGUUAAAAUGCAGGUGUCUGCAAGGCUGAAAUUCUUUCUGGAGUUUCUAGGAGAGAAUCCAUUUGCUAGCAUUCCUUAGCUUGUGGGUCCUUCCUUCCUCCAUCCUCCAAGCCAGCAAUGUUGCAUCUCUCUGACCAUUUUUCUGUAGUCACAUCUCCCUCUGAGCAGGGCCUGGAAAGAUGCUCCACUCUUAAGAACCCAUGUGAUUAGAUUGGACCCACCUGGAUAACCCAGGAUAAUCUCCCCAUCUCAAGGUCCUUAACCCUGGGCUCAGGAGAGUUCAGGGCCUUAUUUGAUCUGUUUUAGGUGCAUCUAUGACUGAUAGGAGUGCAUUGUACCAAGUCAUAUGACCUCUCUUUCCUUUCAUUUUUUUCUCUCCUGCUAUCCUCAGGCCCCCAUGACCUCCCACACUUCCUCCUUAAUGAGACUACACUGAUCUUUGGUUCCAUGCAUCCAUGGAGACACAAGCUUCCUUCAUCUCAGUUUGACCCUGUAAUGACCUUCCAGUGAAACUUUCUCCCCUACCCCCGCCCCUGCCCACCUGCAUGCCCACCCCAGCCCCUCGAGCCCUCCCACCGAGGCCAAAUGUAGCCUCUACAACAACCACAGAGGCAUCUCCCUGUUCAAGGUAGUGGAUAAGCUUUAAGCAACACCAAAUUCACACGCAGUUCUGAGGCUGAAAGAGAUGGAGUAAUAUUUUUUUCUGGACAUCUCAUUUUCUUACAUGUAGGCAUUUUAAGGUCAUGCCACUCUCCAAAAGUAAGAAAGUAUUUGGAAUGUCAAUAUAGUUAUAUUCAUUCGAACUUUAUGGCAGUAAAAUAUGCAAAUCUAACUCAUAACAUUUUAUUAACAGAUGUAUAUACCAAAAUAGAGCUGUAACACUAUCUUUGUAUCAAAAUGUAUUUGACCUCAGUGUAAUUGACAAAGAUCAGUAAAAACACAUAAAGCCCUUUGCUGUUCUAUUGAAACAUGACUCCUUUAAAAAG